GCCAGUGUGGUGUAGUGGUUUGAAUGUUGGACUGUGACUCUGCAAACCAGGGUUCGAUUCCCAGCUCGGUCA